UUAAGCGACUAAGCGUACACGGUGGAUGCCCUGGCAGUCAGAGGCGAUGAAGGACGUGCUAAUCUGCGAAAAGCGUCGGUAAGGUGAUAUGAACCGUUAUAACCGGCGAUGUCCGAAUGGGGAAACCCAGUGUGAUUCGUCACACUAUCGUUAACUGAAUACAUAGGUUAACGAGGCGAACCGGGGGAACUGAAACAUCUAAGUACCCCGAGGAAAAGAAAUCAACCGAGAUUCCCCCAGUAGCGGCGAGCGAACGGGGAGCAGCCCAGAGUCUGAAUCAGCUUGUGUGUUAGUGGAACGGUCUGGAAAGUCCGACGGUACAGGGUGAUAGUCCCGUACACCAAAAUGCACAGGUUGUGAACUCGAAGAGUAGGGCGGGACACGUGGUAUCCUGUCUGAAUAUGGGGGGACCAUCCUCCAAGGCUAAAUACUCCUGACUGACCGAUAGUGAACCAGUACCGUGAGGGAAAGGCGAAAAGAACCCCGGCGAGGGGAGUGAAAAAGAACCUGAAACCGUGUACGUACAAGCAGUGGGAGCACCUUCGGGUGUGACUGCGUACCUUUUGUAUAAUGGGUCAGCGACUUAUAUUCUGUAGCAAGGUUAACCGUAUAGGGGAGCCGCAGGGAAACCGAGUCUUAACUGGGCGUUAAGUUGCAGGGUAUAGACCCGAAACCCGGUGAUCUAGCCAUGGGCAGGUUGAAGGUUGGGUAACACUAACUGGAGGACCGAACCGACUAAUGUUGAAAAAUUAGCGGAUGACUUGUGGCUGGGGGUGAAAGGCCAAUCAAACCGGGAGAUAGCUGGUUCUCCCCGAAAGCUAUUUAGGUAGCGCCUCGUGAACUCAUCUUCGGGGGUAGAGCACUGUUUCGGCUAGGGGGUCAUCCCGACUUACCAACCCGAUGCAAACUACGAAUACCGAAGAAUGUUAUCACGGGAGACACACGGCGGGUGCUAACGUCCGUCGUGAAGAGGGAAACAACCCAGACCGCCAGCUAAGGUCCCAAAGUCAUGGUUAAGUGGGAAACGAUGUGGGAAGGCACAGACAGCCAGGAUGUUGGCUUAGAAGCAGCCAUCAUUUAAAGAAAGCGUAAUAGCUCACUGGUCGAGUCGGCCUGCGCGGAAGAUGUAACGGGGCUAAACCAUGCACCGAAGCUGCGGCAGCGACACUAUGUGUUGUUGGGUAGGGGAGCGUUCUGUAAGCCUGCGAAGGUGUGCUGUGAGGCAUGCUGGAGGUAUCAGAAGUGCGAAUGCUGACAUAAGUAACGAUAAAGCGGGUGAAAAGCCCGCUCGCCGGAAGACCAAGGGUUCCUGUCCAACGUUAAUCGGGGCAGGGUGAGUCGACCCCUAAGGCGAGGCCGAAAGGCGUAGUCGAUGGGAAACAGGUUAAUAUUCCUGUACUUGGUGUUACUGCGAAGGGGGGACGGAGAAGGCUAUGUUAGCCGGGCGACGGUUGUCCCGGUUUAAGCAUGUAGGCUGAUUGUCCAGGCAAAUCCGGAUAAUCAAGGCUGAGGUGUGAUGACGAGGCACUACGGUGCUGAAGUAACAAAUGCCCUGCUUCCAGGAAAAGCCUCUAAGCAUCAGGUAACAUUAAAUCGUACCCCAAACCGACACAGGUGGUCAGGUAGAGAAUACCAAGGCGCUUGAGAGAACUCGGGUGAAGGAACUAGGCAAAAUGGUGCCGUAACUUCGGGAGAAGGCACGCUGGUGUGUAGGUGAAGUCCCUGCGGAUGGAGCUGAGACCAGUCGAAGAUACCAGCUGGCUGCAACUGUUUAUUAAAAACACAGCACUGUGCAAACACGAAAGUGGACGUAUACGGUGUGACGCCUGCCCGGUGCCGGAAGGUUAAUUGAUGGGGUUAUCCGUAAGGAGAAGCUCUUGAUCGAAGCCCCGGUAAACGGCGGCCGUAACUAUAACGGUCCUAAGGUAGCGAAAUUCCUUGUCGGGUAAGUUCCGACCUGCACGAAUGGCGUAAUGAUGGCCAGGCUGUCUCCACCCGAGACUCAGUGAAAUUGAACUCGCUGUGAAGAUGCAGUGUACCCGCGGCAAGACGGAAAGACCCCGUGAACCUUUACUAUAGCUUGACACUGAACAUUGAGCCUUGAUGUGUAGGAUAGGUGGGAGGCUUUGAAGCGUGGACGCCAGUCUGCGUGGAGCCAACCUUGAAAUACCACCCUUUAAUGUUUGAUGUUCUAACGUUGGCCCCUUACCGGGGUUGCGGACAGUGUCUGGUGGGUAGUUUGACUGGGGCGGUCUCCUCCCAAAGCGUAACGGAGGAGCACGAAGGUUAGCUAAUCCUGGUCGGACAUCAGGAGGUUAGUGCAAUGGCAUAAGCUAGCUUGACUGCGAGCGUGACGGCGCGAGCAGGUGCGAAAGCAGGUCAUAGUGAUCCGGUGGUUCUGAAUGGAAGGGCCAUCGCUCAACGGAUAAAAGGUACUCCGGGGAUAACAGGCUGAUACCGCCCAAGAGUUCAUA
rnacentral:rRNA from 1 species